rnacentral:rRNA from 1 species
CUGACAUGAGUAACGAUAAUGGGGGUGAAAAACCCCCACGCCGGAAGACCAAGGUUUCCUGUCCCAUGCUAAUCAGGGCAGGGUAAGUCGGCCCCUAAGGCGAGGCAGAGAUGCGUAGUCGAUGGGAAACGGGUUAAUAUUCCCGUACUUCAUAUUGUUUCGAUGGGAUGACGCAUGAGGUGAAGCCCGGCCGGUGAAUGGUUGUAUCGGUCGAAGCAGCAAGCUAAUGAGAGGUAUUGGCAAAUCCGUACCUUGAGGCAAGCUGUGAACGCGAGUGGAGCUACGGCAAAGCGAAGCGGGUGUAGUCACGGUGCCAAGAAAUAAUCUCUAAGGUUAGGCAAUAUGAAACCGUACCGCAAACCGACACAGGUAGGCGAGAUGAGUAUUCUCAGGCGCGCGAGAGAAUUCACGUUAAGGAACUCGGCAAAAUACACACGUAACUUCGGGAUAAGUGUGGCCUCAGCUGGAUCGGUAACGGUUUAGAGGAGGUUGCAGAGAAGAGGUUCAAGCGACUGUUUACCAAAAACACAGGUCUCUGCGA